AGGAACAAAUGGCAGUUGAUCAUCAAGGAUCAUUCGUCCCAUGCCCGCUGUGGAUUCAAUAGGGUACAACACCUGGUGAUGGUCAGCCGCUGCCACCAUUUUUAAUUGGAUUUGCCUUGCUUUAUUUAUGUAUUUGCUAACGACUCCUGCUUUUGCCUCCCCGAGCAAUCCCCGCCUUUGUGUGAGUGCAGGGGGGGAACCUAGGAAUGCCGUAGUCGCAGGGACCUCCUGCAGCAGAGGCUGCAGUGACGUUGUCAUGGCAACCGCUCCUGCAGCUGCCAACGUUGUCAUGUAACUGAAUGGGAAAUGUCACUGCGGGGUGUGAGGGAACCUGCUUUCUGUGCUUGGCACACUGAUAUAGCUGCCGCUGCUUCUCUGGAAUCCCAGCUCUGUCCGUACACGUCUGCAAACCCCGGCUGCAUCGGAGCGAUAGAAAUCUAUGGCUGCAGAUUUUGGGAGCUGAGAUCCCCACUGCCGACUCUGCUUUGUUCUGACACUCUGCACCCUCAAUGAAAACAAAAACAGCCUUCCCUCAGUAAAUCAACCGACUGGCGUCUCAUCUGCUCCAUAGCCAGUCAGACAACAUCAACACAGUGACAAGAGAGGAAGCAGCACAUGAGACUGACAGCAGAGGUUGGCUUGAGGUCCCAUUGUUCACACAACUUUAUGCUUGGGCAACUGUCCACAACUGGCUGGAGGAAAAAAGAGAUUGACAUAAGGCCUGGACAUACUGUAAAAAAGAAACCUCAAUAAGAUAAUCAAGACUCUCAGACCAAACUGCCAAAAAGGAACACAGCAGAGAGACAAACACAACUGACAAGAGGGCUGGAUUGAGGGGUACUAAAUUCCCCAAAUAUUUUGACUUCUGUUUAAUUAGAAAUAAGGGCUGAGGGUGGGUGACCAGAUAGCAAGUGUGAAAAAUCGGGACACUUUUUUGGGGGGGGGUGAGUGGGGAGGGUAUAGUUGCAUAUAUAAGACAAACCCCCAAAUAUCAGGACAGCCUCGCUAAUAUCAGGAUGUCUGGUCACCCUGACUGAGGGGUGAAGCUAACUCGCAACAGGAGAACAUGGAGAAAUGCUAUGGAACCAAUUUUUAAGGAGAAUUUUGAGAUAUUAAUUUUAAAAACUGUAUGUAUUUUUAAGUACAUAAUGAACCAUUUUUAUUGGUCUCCCAUGUGCCCCAGUUUCACCAUCUGUCAAUGGGGAUAAUAAUACUGACCUCUUUGUAAAGUAUGCUGAGAUCUACUGAAGUAAAAGUGCUAUGUAAGAGCUAGGGGGUAGGAUUUUAAUGCAGAAUGACAGUAAAGCUUAUCAGUUCCCAUUGUGCAAAGAAACGAUAGAGCUGGUUGAAACUUUUCCACUGAAACUGGGUAGUUUUGUUUGUUUUGUUUGUGUUUUUUUGUCAAAAAUUGGGGGUUUGAUCAAAUAAAAAGGUUUCUGGAAAGUGUCUGAUUUCCUCAAAAACUGAUUAUUUGUCGGAAAAUUGAAAACCUCAGAAAUGAAAUUUUAUGUCUGAAAACACUUAGGUUUUCAUUUUUUGAUGAAAAGUAAAGUAGAAAUUUUUCACUGAAAAUUUUGACAAAAACAAUAAUUUUUUGUUUGUUUUCUAGUUAGUUAUCGGCUACGUUUUCCAUAUGGGGAAAAAAGACAUUUUCCAACCAACUGCCUUUAUUAAAUAGGCAGUCCUUCCCUCAGUAAAUUUACAGUGUACAAAAAAAACUGAGGCUGAAGAUGGCAGGAGAGAGGUGGGAAAAUGACAUUUGAUUAACCUGAUUUUUUUUGUUAGUGAAAUCAUAUCAAUUUUUACUAAAUUUUGUUUUUAAAAAAUUGGAAACAAGUUUU